UACGUAGGGUGCAGGCGUUAAUCGGAAUUACUGGGCGUAAAGCGUGCGCAGGCGGUCUCUUAAGACAGGUGUGAAAUCCCCGGGCUUAACUUGGGAACUGCCGUUGAUACUAUCUGUCUUGAAUAUCGUGGAGGUGAGCGGAAUAUGUCAUGUAGCGGUGAAAUGCUUAGAUAUGACAUAGAACACCCAUUGCGAAGGCAGCUCACUACACGAUAAUUGACGCUGAGGCACGAAAGCGUGGGGAGCAAACAGG
rnacentral:rRNA from 1 species